rnacentral:rRNA from 1 species
GAUGAACGCUGGCGGCGUGCCUAAUACAUGCAAGUCGAGCGAACAGACGAGGAGCUUGCUCCUCUGACGUUAGCGGCGGACGGGUGAGUAACACGUGGAUAACCUACCUAUAAGACUGGGAUAACUUCGGGAAACCGGAGCUAAUACCGGAUAAUAUAUCGAACCGCAUGGUUCAAUAGUGAAAGACGGUUUUGCUGUCACUUAUAGACGGUUCCGCGCCGCAUUAGCUAGUCGGUAAGGUAACGGCUUACCAAGGCUACGAUGCGUAGCCGACCUGAGAGGGUGAUCGGCCACACUGGAACUGAGACACGGUCCAGACUCCUACGGGAGGCAGCAGUAGGGAAUCUUCCGCAAUGGGCGAAAGCCUGACGGAGCAACGCCGCGUGAGUGAUGAAGGUCUUCGGAUCGUAAAGCUCUGUUAUUGGGAAAGAACAAAUGUGUAUGUAACUAUGCACGUCUUGACGGUACCUAAUCAAAAAGCCACGGCUAACUACGUG